UACGGAGGGUGCAAGCGUUAUCCGGAUUCACUGGGUUUAAAGGGCGCGUAGGCGGGAUGGCAAGUCGGUCGUGAAAUCCCUCGGCUCAACCGAGGAACGUCGAUCGAUACUGCUGUUCUUGAGGAUUGCAGAGGAGACUGGAAUUCCCGGUGUAGCGGUGAAAUGUGUAGAGAUCGGGAGGAACACCGGUGGCGAAGGCGGGUCUCUGGGCAAUUCCUGACGCUGAGGCGCGAAAGCGUGGGGAGCAAACGGG
rnacentral:rRNA from 1 species